rnacentral:rRNA from 1 species
GACGAACGCUGGCGGCGUGCUUAACACAUGCAAGUCGAACGGAAAGGCCCUGCUUUUGUGGGGUGCUCGAGUGGCGAACGGGUGAGUAACACGUGAGUAACCUGCCCUUGACUGUGGGAUAACUUCAGGAAACUGGGGCUAAUACCGGAUAGGAGCUCCUGCUGCAUGGUGGGGGUUGGAAAGUUUCGGCGGUUGGGGAUGGACUCGCGGCUUAUCAGCUUGUUGGUGAGGUAGUGGCUUACCAAGGCUUUGACGGGUAGCCGGCCUGAGAGGGUGACCGGCCACAUUGGGCCUGAGAUACGGCCCGGACUGAUACGGGGGGCAGCAGUGGGGAAUAUUGCACGAUGGGCGGAAGCCUGAUGGAGCAACGCCGCGUGGGAGAUGACGGUCUUAGGGUUGUAAACCGCUUUCGCCUGUGACGAAGCGUGAGUGACGGUAAUGGGUAAAGAAGCACCGGCUAACUACGUG